AGUGAACGCUGGCGGUAGGCCUAACACAUGCAAGUCGAACGGCAGCACAGUAAGAGCUUGCUCUUACGGGUGGCGAGUGGCGGACGGGUGAGGAAUACAUCGGAAUCUACUUUUUCGUGGGGGAUAACGUAGGGAAACUUACGCUAAUACCGCAUACGACCUACGGGUGAAAGCAGGGGAUCUUCGGACCUUGCGCGAUUGCAUGAGCCGAUGUCGGAUUAGCUAGUUGGCGGGGUAAAGGCCCACCAAGGCGACGAUCCGUAGCUAGUCUGAGAGGAUGAUCAGCGACAGUGGAACUGAGACACGGUCCAGACUCCUACGGGAGGCAGCAGUGGGGAAUGUUGGAAGAUGGGCGGAAGCCUGAUCCAGCCAUACCGCGUGGAUGAAGAAGGCCUUCGUGUUGUAAAGCCCUUUUGUUGGGAAAGAAAAGCAGCAGGUUAAUACCCCGCUGGUCUGACGGUACCCAAAGAAGAAGCACCGGCUAACUUCGUG
rnacentral:rRNA from 1 species